UACAUGGGGUGCAAACGUUGCUCGGAAUCAUUGGGCGUAAAGCGUGCGCAGGCGGUUAUGUAAGACAGAUGUGAAAUCCCCGGGCUCAACCUGGGAACUGCAUUUGUGACUGCAUCGCUGGAGUGCGGCAGAGGGGGAUGGAAUUCCGCGUGUAGCAGUGAAAUGCGUAGAUAUGCGGAGGAACACCGAUGGCGAAGGCAAUCCCCUGGGCCUGCACUGACGCUCAUGCACGAAAGCGUGGGGAGCAAACAGG
rnacentral:rRNA from 1 species